rnacentral:lncRNA from 1 species
AGAAGGAACACAACCAGGAUAGUCCCUGUGCCUCAGUUUCUCCUUUGCUGUGUGCCUGGCACUGCUACAGGGAAUAGGGUGGUUCUGGAGGGGAAGGUAAACAGCAACUUAACGGAUACAUAGCAUCGCUUCAUGUACUAAGUGGAGUGAAGAUAAUAAACAGGGUAAAGGGAGAGAGGGCUGUGGAAUGCAGAGGUCUGGUGGCUUAUGUGUUAGUAAAAGCAGAAUCU